rnacentral:rRNA from 1 species
UACGGGGGGAGCAAGCGUUGUUCGGAUUUACUGGGCGUAAAGGGCGCGUAGGCGGUCAGCACAAGUCAGUUGUGAAAUCUCCGGGCUUAACUCGGAAAGGUCAACUGAUACUGUGCGACUAGAGUGCAGAAGGGGCAACUGGAAUUCCCAGUGUAGCGGUGAAAUGCGUAGAUAUUGGGAGGAACACCAGAUGCGAAGGCGGGUCACUGGGCUGAUGACUGACGCUGAUGCGCGAAAGCCAGGGGAGCGAACGGG